CUGGGCGGCCUCGUGCAUGUCCGGUCGUUUGAUAUUUUCGUCGUCGAUCAGACGUCGCGAUCUGUUUGUCGUCGGUCCCUGCUUGGAGGAGACGCGAUCGAGUUUGUUGCGGGCGCGUUUCGGCGCGUUUCGCGGCAAAGACGCGAAUCUCUGGCUGACGACGGACAGUAUGCAAGGGUGGCCGACGUUGUGCGUACACACGCGGCGUCGGUACCGAUCUGCGACGAUUCUUUCGGGCCUCUUCCCGACCCGUCUUGAAACACGGACCAAGGAGUCUAACAUGCGCGCGAGUCACGGGGUAUCGAGCGCACCACGGUGCGUUCGGCACAUCUCGAAACCCGUAUGUUGAAGGCGUAAUGAAAGUAAACAGGGAAGAUGGUGUUCCGAGUAUAUGUACCGUGUUAUUCGCGGCCGGACGCCCGCAUUCCCGGGGCGUCUCAAUGAAUCGCGGCGGAUGCGGACUGCUGUCUCUCGGGGCGGUAGUCGGUCUGCCGCGGCUCGAGGCGCACCUAGAGCGUGCACGUUGGUACCCGAAAGAUGGUGAACUAUGCCUGGCCAGGAUGAAGUCAGGGGAAACCCUGAUGGAGGUCCGCAGCGAUUCUGACGUGCAAAUCGAUCGUCUGAGCUGGGUAUA
rnacentral:rRNA from 1 species